rnacentral:lncRNA from 10 species
GGAAUGUGACACAAGUGAUGCAAGCUAUUUCCCAGCUUGAUCAUAUAAUAACAUUACCUAAGGCUCUUCUUUAAAUAUGAAGAAGAAUGUUUCCAACAGAAGAUAUAACCAUUAUCUCACUGAAUGAGCAGUUGUGACUAUAAUGUAUAUACUUCUAUCUUCUCACACCACCAAACUGACAGUCAAACAAGAGAGUUAAAGCACUGCCUGAAAUCAGUACUUGAAUGAAAAGAUAAAGUGUGGACCAGGGAAGAGGACUGCUAGAUAGACUUUGGGAUGUUCACACUUACAUAAAGGAGCUUUUUGUUAUUUAUCUGGAAUUCAAACUCAACUGGGUUGCCUAUGUUUUUGUUUUCUGAAUCUGGAAACUCUUAUUGAGGAUAAGGACAAUGCACUCUUGGAAAUCAGAAGAUUCCCAGGCACUAUUGCUCUUUCUUUCCCUCUCUAGCUAUUUUUAGUCCACGUCCUUUUCACCAUACAAAAUAUUGUUAUAGUCAUAACAUAUGUGCUUGCUUUGGUUGUACCUCUACAAUCAAUCCUGUAUACUAGAAUAGGAAAGUGAAACUAAAAGAGCUAACAUACCAUGUCAUUCCUCUGCUCAAAAAUCAUCAGAGACUCUUUGCUACAGAGAUAAAGUUCAAACCCCUAAGCAUGGAAUUCAAAGGCUUUCACGCUUCAUGCUUUUCUCUCACAACAUCCUUAAGUGAACUCCUUAAUGCAGCCAGAAGUGUUUUCUUCACUGAUGCAUGUUUCCUCUCAUAAACCUAUCUCAAUCUGAGGCUUAAAGUUUCCGUUUUCUGUUAAAGUUUCUCUAUCAUUCUGUAGAUCUGCAAUCAUAUCUCUGUAUACAUUUUCCAAAAUUGACAGUAAUCUCUUUCCUUAGAAUCACACUGAAUUUCAGAAAUACUUCAAAUUACACGUGUCUUGAGAAUUAACAUGUACUGUGUGGUAGGGUUGAUGCCAAACCCUUU